CUCCUCGUCACUUGAAACGUCAUCAGUUUCAAGACGCUGCUAGCUAGUGCCAUUCUCUGUUCCUCGUCGUUCUCCGCUGCUCGUUCUCCAGUUCAUCUUCGCUCCAUUGCUCGCGUCGUUACUGCUUCUCCCUUCGCCAUCAAUUCUUCUACUCGUGCUUAUUCUUAUUCUGAUCCUCUGCUGCAACUUAUUUUUGUUGCUUGAGUUAUUUCAUAUUAUCAUCUAUCUUGGCAUUCUAUAGAUUUUUUUGUUCAUUUUCCAAGCCACGAAUUCCACUAAUUUGUUGUUGUUAUUAUAUUUCUUGCUUUCGUUUGCAAAAUAAAAUGAUAAAGCUAUAAACUUAUAAAUCACAAAUCUUGUUGUGCGACAAAAAAAAAAAAAAAAGGGCCUGCGGAGUAUGCUUCUCGGGAGGUCAUUUGUUGGCACUGGGAUGUGAUUUGGCCCUCCUAUUGCUGCUCUUUAUGUAACCGAGACAUAUGAGAUGAUAAAACAAGUAUUAUUUUUUACAUUAGGGAUCACAUUAUUUUCAUUUGUAGGUUUCACCUCCAGUAGUAAGGGGUAUUUUUGGGAGUUUAACUCCUAAUAGUAAGGCUUUUUGUCCUUUAUUGUUUUGGAUUGAUCAAGGCUACUUCUGUGGAGAGGAUAAUAAUUCUUUGACUUUUUUCAGAGAGGAGAACGUGCUAAAGUUGAAGUUGAAUUUGAGAAGCUGUAAUAUAACGGUCAAAGCAUAUGGCGCAUUGGCGUGUGGAUGUUAGAAUGUCUACUGGAGUUCUUAAUUCGAGACCAGAGGACAAAGCAUCCUUUGAUCUCAAGAAUACCAAUACUAGACUUGAAGACGCUAGGGGAGAAAAAAGAUUAGAUUCUGAGCUAUGGCGUGCAUGUGCUGGUCUUCUAUGUUUCUGCCACCUACUGCAAGUCGUGUGGUCUACUCCCAGGAUCACAGUGAACAGAUUAGUGAACAAUUUUCAUUUUAUUAGUUGGGUGCUAAGGGAAUGGGUUCUCUCCUGGUGAGAAUCCAUCCUGGUCCCUCCUGCUCUCACAAUGUGGGGGUGGAGGCAGGAGAGACCAGGAUGAACUCUCACCAGGAGAGAAUCCUUGUCCUCUAACAUGCUACUUUAAUUGUUUUUUCAAUGGAUGUUUAAUUAGAAAUUUUAUGCUUGUCCAAGAACACAAGAGGGCAUGGAGAUGAUAAAUAAGGUGUCAGAGAGUCACAAUGAAUAGGUCAAUCAUACUAUUUCCACCUGCAAACUAGAUUUUGGUACUCAAGAUUUCAACUCUUCUUUUUUUUCCCCUGUAAAUAUAUGGUAAGAGCUGUUAUGUGUGGGCAAGCACAUAUAUUAAUAUCAAGUUCAUGGGAUUUUUAUGUGGGCAUAAGAAAGAAUCACAGUGAACCUGCCACAAGAGUAAGAUUAUCAGUUGACUUAGCUUCGUUGAUAUAUGUGAGAGCUAUUAUUCUUAGCGGUGGGAGACCAUCUACAGAUGUGGAGCUGUAAUCUUUAGUUGGAUAAUUUAUAAGUGUAGAGGGAAUAAAAUUGAUUGAAAAAUGACCAUUAUUUCAUUAUAAUAGUAUAAUCAACUUUUGUAUGAUUAUCCUCUGUUAUUAUUACUUAUAUGUCAUGUUGUCUUAUAUGUUAUUGGACUUUGUAUGACAAUCAAGUUGCAUUUGUUUUCCAUGUUUUAUAUUAUUAUCUAGAUGGACAAAAACUGUGACGGUCAACCAUUUGCAUUAUCAAGGAUGCCUGGUAC